CUUGUUCUAGUUAGGUUCAUUCUUUUUUACUGUGAACUGUUUUAAUUUUCAGCGUUUGAGGAAUGUCUUUUAGUCAUAGGGAUAGACUAUUAGAAUGUUAACCGAGCUGAAGUCAGGUUUAGACCUGGUAUCCUAUUAAUUAUUUACCAAAAGAAUUCAGUAUUAUUAUUGUAACAUAAGCGUAAAAAACUUAUAAAACAACUUUUAACAACGGAUCUCUUGGUUCCCGCAUCGAUGAAGAACGUAGCAAAGUGCGAUAACUAGUGUGAAUUGCAUAUUCAGUGAAUCAUCGAGUCUUUGAACGCAACUUGCGCUCAAUGGUAUUCCAUUGAGCACGCCUGUUUCAGUAUCAAAAACACCCCACAUUCAUAAUUUUGUUGUGAAUGGAACUGAGAAUUUCGACUUGUUUGAAUUCUUUAAACUUAUUAGGCCUGAACUAUUGUUCUUUCUGCCUGAACAUUUUUUUAAUAUAAAGGAAUGCUCUAGUAUUAAGACUAUCUCUGGGGCCUCCCAAAUAAAACUUUCUUAAAUU
rnacentral:rRNA from 1 species